GGGUUGUGAGGUUAAGCGACUAAGCGUACACGGUGGAUGCCCUGGCAGUCAGAGGCGAUGAAGGGCGUGCUAAUCUGCGAUAAGCGCCGGUAAGGUGAUAUGAACCGUUAUAACCGGCGAUACCCGAAUGGGGAAACCCAGUGUGACUCGUCACACUAUCAUUAACUGAAUCCAUAGGUUAAUGAGGCGAACCGGGGGAACUGAAACAUCUAAGUACCCCGAGGAAAAGAAAUCAACCGAGAUUCCCCCAGUAGCGGCGAGCGAACGGGGAGGAGCCCAGAGCCUGAAUCAGCAUGUGUGUUAGUGGAAGCGUCUGGAAAGGCGCGCGAUACAGGGUGACAGCCCCGUACACAAAAGCGCAUGUGCUGUGAGCUCGAUGAGUAGGGCGGGACACGUGGUAUCCUGUCUGAAUAUGGGGGGACCAUCCUCCAAGGCUAAAUACUCCUGACUGACCGAUAGUGAACCAGUACCGUGAGGGAAAGGCGAAAAGAACCCCGGCGAGGGGAGUGAAAAAGAACCUGAAACCGUGUACGUACAAGCAGUGGGAGCACAGGUUUACCUGUGUG
rnacentral:rRNA from 1 species